AGUACACAGGAGCUUGUUGCUGAACAGGUAUGUCAGCUCCAUACACCAAUGUGAAGGAGAAGCGGUGGCCAUGCAAACCAUUUUCUACGCGAUGAGUCAGAUUUUAUUUGCAUUUUGGUAUGGAAUCAGUAGAAUCUGUUAUGAGGUUCUGAAGAGGUCAUAAGGGGAACAGAUUUCUUUCCUCCAGAUGGAAGCUUUAAACAACAGGGAAUAAUUACAUGGAAAUGCAAGAAUCCUCAGAGUGUGAUGGACAGAGAGUCAGAUUCUCAGAAGAGCUCAGCUUGCAGUUAGGCACCAAAAUAGGGGGCCAGAUUUCCAGGGAACUCAGCCUGUUGGGUGUGGAGCACUCCUGAAAAUAUGGCCUUUUAUUCUCAGUGAGGACAACUGCAUUGGAAGUCACUGAAGAAGUUUGCUGUAGAGAUGAUGAAGUUAUGAGACAUUAGAGUGCAUCUCUCCUCCUGGAUGUUUGCUGGUAUGAAUUUAGGAAGUGUAGACCAGCCCUGAGACAGAGAAGCAGCAGAAAUAUCACAGAAGCACACAGAGAAGGCAGCAAGGAAGCCUGACAACCAGACAGAAGUAUUUGUAGAAUGAUGCUGAGAGAGAAAGAGAGAGAGCUAUAUGAGAAAAGUGCUGUCUGAAAAGAGGCUUUGAACUGUGAGCAAAUAAACUCUCAUGAUGUUUGAUUCCCACUGUGUUCUGGGUAACAGAA